rnacentral:rRNA from 1 species
AGAGUUUGAUCAUGGCUCAGGAUGAACGCUGGCGGCGUGCUUAAUACAUGCAAGUCGAACGGAGACAUUAGCAAUAAUGUCUUAGUGGCGAACGGGUGAGUAACGCGUUGGUGACCUGCCCCGAAGAGGGGGAUAACAGUCCGAAAGGAUUGCUAAUACCCCAUGUGGUCGUUUGGAUUAGAUGCCUUAUGACUAAACGGAUUUAUUCGCUUCGGGAGGGGCCUGCGUCCCAUCAGCUAGUUGGUAGGGUAAUAGCCUACCAAGGCGAUGACGGGUAGGGGACCUGAGAGGGUGGCCCCCCACAAUGGAACUGAAACACGGUCCAUACACCUACGGGUGGCAGCAGUAGGGAAUAUUGGUAAUCUGGGAAACCGGGAACCAGCAACGCCGCGUGCGCGAUGAAGGCCUUCGGGUUGUAAAGCGCUUUUUGAAGGGAUGAGGAAGGACAGUACCUUCAGAAUAAGCCUCGGCUAACUACGUGCCAGCAGCCGCGGUAAAACGUAGGAGGCGAGCGUUAUCCGGAUUUACUGGGCGUAAAGCGUGUGUAGGCGGUUUGAUAAGUUGGAUGUGAAAGCUCCUGGCUCAACUGGGAGAGGUCGUUCAAAACUAUCAGACUCGAGAGUGGUAGAGGGAGGUGGAAUUCCGCGUGUAGUGGUGAAAUGCGUAGAUAUGCGGAGGAACACCAGUGGCGAAAGCGGCCUCCUGGCCCAUUUCUGACGCUCAGACACGAAAGCUAAGGUAGCAAACGGGAUUAGAGACCCCGGUAGUCUUAGCUGUAAACGAUGUGAACUUAGUGUCGGUGGGGUUAAAUCCAUCGGUACUGAAGCAAACGCGAUAAGUUCACCGCCUGAGGACUACGGCCGCAAGGUUAAAACUCAAUGAAUUGACGG